rnacentral:pre_miRNA from 1 species
GAAUGAGCGCGCGGGGGAAAAGUGCAAAUAGUGGUAGGUAGUGAUCACUGCCGUCUGCCUACUCCAUUUGCAUUUUGGCCUCCGUGCGUCUCGCCG